GAUGAACGCUGGCGGCGUGCCUAAUACAUGCAAGUCGAGCGAACAGACGCGGAGCUUGCUCCUCUGACGUUAGCGGCGGACGGGUGAGUAACACGUGGAUAACCUACCUAUAAGACUGGGAUAACUUCGGGAAACCGGCGCUAAUCCCGGAUAACAUGCUGAACCGUAUGGUUCAACAGUGAAAGACGGUGUUGCUGUCACUAAUAGAUGGAUAUGCGUCGCAUUAGCUAGUUGGUAAGGUAACGGCUUAUCACGGCAAGGAUGCGUGGCCGACUUGAGAGGGUGAUCGGCCACACUGGAGCUGGAACACGGUCCAGAGUCCUACGGGAGGCAGCAGUAGGGAAUCUGCCGCAAUGGGCGAGAGCCUGGCGCAGCAACGCCGCGUGAGAGAAGAAGGUCUUGGGAGCGUAAAACUCUGUUAUUAGGGGAGAACAAAUGUGGAAGUAACUAUGCACGUCUUGACGGUACCGAAUCAGAAAGCCACGGCUAACUACGUG
rnacentral:rRNA from 1 species